rnacentral:lncRNA from 1 species
UUGAGGAGAUAAAAAAAUUAAUUUCAUAUUAAUCCCUACAAAUAUAAUAAAUGACAAAUAUAUUUUUUUUAAAGUUCAACUUUCAUAUAUUAUUUCUGUAAAAAUUCUAAUAUUUUUAAAUAUGUCUUUCUAUUUUGCUACCGUUAGAGCACUAUUUAUAUUUUCAAUUUCAUCAUUAUAGAUAUACCCUUUAAAAAUCAUAACAGUAUAAAUAUAAGAGGGAUAAAAAUAUCAAAAAUUAAUCACAAUAAAAUAUUUAAUUUAUGGUUAACUAAAUUUUUCUAACAAAUUCUAACGAUAUGUCCUUUAAAAAUAUCAUCACUUUUAUAAAAAAUAUUAUAUAAAAGUUUAACUUUGUAAGGAUCUAUAUAAAAUUAAUCCUAAAAAAAAAAAGA